CUCAUAUUAGAAAAUCCCACAGUUUAGUGGUAGGGCUUUCUCGGGGGAUGGCAGAUCCCUGUUCAUAAUUCCUUCUUCUCAUCAGGCAGUGGGGGGGACUUGAGCUGGUGGUCUCUUCCCACAUCCUAGGAAACCAUCUCAGCUGUAGACAGGACACCAUCUUGGAGGAACUAAAUUAGCUGGCAUUUGAGAAGCAUGCACAGCUCCUGAAUGUAGAUUGAUCCCACUCACAAACAAGGAUGGGCAUGAAUUCCACCUGCUGAAAGCUUUGCUGCUGUGAAUUCCACCUCACAUGCUGUACAUAGCACCUCUCUGAAUGCCUGUUGACUUCAGUGGAAGAUUAAGGACUUUCUAUACCUUGCGGAAUGAGGCCCUGAAUGGUAAACCUCUCUGAUAGGUGAACCAAUGCACACCCACUGCCUGCAUCCAGUUAGUUUUCUGUACUUUACCCUGCAACAGAUUUUGGCUGCUUCCAACUUAAGUCUCAACUGACUGGAAGACAGUUCCAUUGGAUAGUAAAGCCUAAGACUCAGUGUGAGAAACUGGUACUGUUGGACGUAAAGUUUAGGAACAGCUUUAACAACUUGCAAAAUUUCCUUUCAUUAAAAAUAAUAAUAAUGCUGUAUUCUCCUUGAAGACACAGUGGAACUUUGCUAAUUCACACUGAUGCAUGGGAGACCUGCUGCCAGUUAAUUAGCUGUGUAAAUUAGCAAAUUAGGACCUGAUCCAAAGGACACUGUAGUGAAUGUCUUUCUAUCAACUAUAAUGGGUUUAAGAUCAGGAUUUUUUUUUUUAAAGAUUCUACAGCACAAAAUGUAUGUUGUUCAGUUAGUUUGACAAGCUUAGUUUUUUAUGGUAUUUCAUAGUACACAAGUGUAUUGUAAAGUAGCACAUUUUGUAAAAGUAAUGAAGUCUUAGUAAUAUGAAACUUUGCUAUCUUAAAAAUAAAUAAUAUCCUGUGCACAGGGAAAAGUCUGCUUGGAAUUGAGGAAAAUUAUCAGGGUUUAUAGCUUCUACUCUGUUUAAAGACCAAAAUAUGUUCAUGUUUAGAAUCUAAACAUGGAUACAGAAAGGGGG